AUCGCUUCUCAGCCUUUUGGCUAAGAUUAAGUGCAUAUCUGUUCUUAUCAUUUUAAUAUCUGAUACAUAUAGCCCCAUAGCUCUGCCAUGGCCUGGCCUGGCGGCGCCUCCUCACCUACU
rnacentral:snRNA from 1 species